rnacentral:rRNA from 1 species
CUCGUCACACUAUCAUUAACUGAAUCCAUAGGUUAAUGAGGCGAACCGGGGGAACUGAAACAUCUAAGUACCCCGAGGAAAAGAAAUCAACCGAGAUUCCCCCAGUAGCGGCGAGCGAACGGGGAGGAGCCCAGAGCCUGAAUCAGCAUGUGUGUUAGUGGAAGCGUCUGGAAAGGCGCGCGAUACAGGGUGACAGCCCCGUACACAAAAGCGCAUGUGCUGUGAGCUCGAUGAGUAGGGCGGGACACGUGGUAUCCUGUCUGAAUAUGGGGGGACCAUCCUCCAAGGCUAAAUACUCCUGACUGACCGAUAGUGAACCAGUACCGUGAGGGAAAGGCGAAAAGAACCCCGGCGAGGGGAGUGAAAAAGAACCUGAAACCGUGUACGUACAAGCAGUGGGAGCACAGGUUUACCUGU